rnacentral:rRNA from 1 species
UACAGAGGGGGCAAGCGUUAUUCGGAAUUAUUGGGCGUAAAGGGCGCGUAGGCGGCCUGGCAAGUGGAAGGUGAAAUCCCUCGGCUUAACCGAGGAACUGCCUCCCAAACUGCUUGGCUUGAGACCGGGAGAGGUGAGUGGAAUUCCGAGUGUAGAGGUGAAAUUCGUAGAUAUUCGGAAGAACACCAGUGGCGAAGGCGACUUACUGGACACAUAUUGACGCUGAGGUGCGAAAGCGUGGGGAGCAAACAGG